rnacentral:lncRNA from 1 species
UAUCGUUAUUGUACACCGCAUGCUAAUUGUGUACAUGCUACUGUGGUCUUCGAAAUUCAUUGGGAUAUUGUGGAUCAGGAUGAAAGUUUUCAUUCAGAUCCCAAAAAUUUUAUCUAUCGAGUAACAAUGAGCCAAUGAUUUACAGUUCUUGAAAUCAGCUCUGCAUGAUCGACUGUUUUCGUGAUAACAACGGGUCGGUUACGUGGGAAAGUUUGAAAUUUAGUUGCUAAGUUCCAUGCCGAAAGGCGUUACUAGUUUUAUCCGCUUGUCGACAGUAGCGCCAUCGUGACGAUAACAGAACUCGAACUACAGGUGGAGCAGUGAACAGCAGAAGGCUUUUAUAUCGGAUUAUUUUUGAUUCGCUAUUCACUUCAGAAAUUUUCGAGCGAGAGAGUUGGAUAGAGGAGCUCGUUGAUCGAGACGUCGCAGAUAUUUGCGUGUCAAAUUUCGAAGUACUUGCUAGUCGGAGAUCAAGGCUGAAAAAUGACUCUGUCAAUUCUGUUCGCAUUCUGUCGUCACAUCGCCAUAUCACUGUCCUCAUUUCAUACAACGAACGUGUCAUCUACGAAUCGAACUUGUCGCAUUGAGCGUAGUCAACGACUUAAUUCACAACGAUAUUUCCCAACGAUUAUCAAGCGAAUAUACAAGCCUUGUCCAAGCCUCACGAUCAUACAUUUUUACCGACGUUCCAGUUCGUUAUUUUCGAUAUUCAUGUGUACGACCUGAAGUUCGACGACGCUGCAUAACAAGAUCAAUUAACGUUCCAUGUUCUCUUAAAAAAAAAAAAAAAAAUUGUCCUAUUACACCUAAUAUUAAAUUAUCAUCGUUUCUAAUUUUAUACCAUCGCUAAUAAAAUUAUCAGCGUUCGUUCUCGUGUAUGCAUAUAACAUGCGUACGCGAAAUACCUUGUCAGAAAAAUAAAUAAACCAUAUUCAUGCGCGUGUAAAACAACUGAACGUUACAUCGUUUCUUGUACUAUUGAGAUUGUUUUCUUUUUUCCCGUCUUCAUGUUGUUAUUCGUUUUUGUUGCACCUUUAGUUUGUACGGCUUAUUUUCAAGGUGAUGAUUCACGUACACACGUCAUACGCUAUAGAAAGUUAUGCCCAAUCGGAAAAAGCAUUUGCGAAACGGGCCGUCAAAGCUGGGAAGGCAAUCGGUUGUGAAACAGAUGACUAUCGUCCGGUUUUCGUUUGGUUCGAAAAUUCGUUUUCCAUCAAUAACGUGAAGGUAGCGAUGGUAUUUGCCCGCGGCCAUCGGCUCUCCGUAAAUUACAUAUUGUAUAAGUCCUUCGAAAAAGCCCGGGGCAUUUUUCUACCCACCUAAGUACUUAUGUCUUGAAAAUAAUGACCCGCAGGUGGGAAUCAGCGAGACUUAGCUCGGGCCAAAAACAUGAAAAAGGCUGCAAAGAAAUCUGCCGCAGAACAG